rnacentral:rRNA from 1 species
CGCCUCUUGCAAAAUAUAAGAGGUCCAGCCUGCCCAGUGAUAAAAUUCAACGGCCGCGGUACCCUAACCGUGCGAAGGUAGCAUAAUCACUUGUUCUCUAAAUAGGGACUAGUAUCAAAGGCACCACGAGGGCCAUACUGUCUCCUUUCUCCAAUCAGUGAAACUGAUCUCCCCGUGAAGAAGCGGGGAUUUUUUUAUAAGACGAGAAGACCCCAUGGAGCUUUAAGCAAUGUGUUCACCCUUCUGUGUUUAUAUCAACAUAACAAAUAUUCUGAACAAUAGCUUUGGGUUGGGGGGACCGCGGAGCAUAAUAUAACCUCCACGACAAACGGGCCACGCCCUUAUCCACGAGUUACAACUCUAAGAAUCAAUAAACUGAUGUUUAUGACCCGAUAUUCGAUCAACGAACCAAGUUACCCUGGGGAUAACAGCGCAAUCUACUUCAAGAGCCCUUAUCGACAAGUAGGUUUACGACCUCGAUGUUGGAUUAGGGUAUCCCAGUGGUGCAGCCGCUACUAACGGUUCGUUUGUUCAACGAUUAAAACCCU